rnacentral:rRNA from 1 species
GACGAACGCUGGCGGCGUGCUUAACACAUGCAAGUCGAACGGAAAGGCCCUGCUUUUGUGGUGUGCUCGAGUGGCGAACGGGUGAGUAACACGUGGGUAACCUGCCCUUUACUUUGGGAUAACUUCAGGAAACUGGGGCUAAUACCGGAUAGGAGCUCCUGCUGCAUGGUGGUGGUUGGAAAGUUUCGGCGGUUGGGGAUGGACUCGCGGCUUCUCAGCUUGUUGGUGGGGUAGUGGUUUACCAAGGGUUUGACGGGUAGCCGGCCAGAGAGGGUGACCGGCCACAUGGGGACUGAGGUGCGGCGGAGAGCCCUACGGGAGGGAGCAGUGGUGAAGGUUGCACAAGGGGCGGAACCCUGGUGCAGCAACGCGGCGUGGGGAAUGACGGCUUUCGGGUUGUAGACCGCUUUCGCAUGUGACGAAGCGUGAGGGACGGUAAUGGGUAAAGAAGCACCGGCAAACUACGUG